CUUAAAAUCUCCAAGUGGUAAAACAUUUGGCGAGUUGUAGCUUAUGGAGGUGGGUUGAUCUGUGGUUAUGAGAUAGUAAAAGUGCUUUUGAAUAAGCCAUCAGAGAGGGUGAAAAUCCCGUAUUUGACUAUGUUCAUGAUUAUAAUGAGAACCAUUUUCUUUGAGUCGGGUUGUUUGGGAAUGCAGCCCUAAUUAGGAGGUAAAUUUCUUCUAAAGCUAAAUAUAAGCAAGAGACCGAUAGCAAACAAGUACCGUGAGGGAAAGAUGAAAAGCACUUUGAAAAGAGAGUGAAAAGUACGUGAAAUUGUUGAAAGGGAACCGGUUAGUAGCCAAGCAUCACUUUUAGAGCGGGUUAAACCGUUUUGAUAGUGGGGUCAACAUCGGUUGUUGGGGUCUGAAAGGAAAUUAGAUAGGUCAGCGGAGUAAGGUAGGGUUAUUAGUUGUUGUAUGGGAUUUUAUUCUGUAUGACGUUUUAUAGCUAAUGAUCUGUUAUAGACUUCAUGGAUUUAUUAUUAUACGCCUAGAGAUUUCGACGACCGAGGAACGCAGUGUAAUCAUGUAAAAGUGGUUGAGGAAGAUUUGUUUCGGGUAUUUGUUUAGUUAUUAUUCUUUAGACAGCUUGCUGACUAUUGAGUUGAUUGAAUAUAUUCAGGAGAUAAAUAUUGACUAAAAAGCACUAGGGAUGUUGGCGAAAAGGCACUAAUCGACCCGUCUUGAAACACGGACCAAGGAGUCCAACAUGCAUGCGAGUAUGUGGGAGUAAUAAACCCAUAUGCGUAAUGAAAGUGAACAUAGAAUGCGAUCUUAUUUCAUUUAGGUGGGAUUUGAGCAGCAUCGACCGACUUCAGAUAGCGUUGCUUGACGAGGUUGAGUAAGAGCAUGUAUGCUGGGACCCGAAAGAUGGUGAACUAUGCCUGAAUAGGGUGAAGUCAGAGGAAACUCUGAUGGAAGCUCGUAGAGAUUCUGACGUGCAAAUCGAUCUCCAAAUUUGGGUAUAGGGGCGAAAGACUAAUCGAACCAUCUAGUAGCUGGUUCCUGCCGAAGUUUCCCUCAGGAUAGCAGAGACUGAAUAAAGCAGUUUUAUGAGGUAAAGCGAAUGAUUAGAGGCCUUGGGGAUGUAACAUCCUUAACCUAUUCUCAAACUUUAAAUGCGUAAGAAGCGGCAGUUUCUUAAUUGAACUGGAUUGCUAAAUUUAUUACGAAUGCAUCAGUCUCUAGUGGGCCAUUUUUGGUAAGCAGAACUGGCGAUGCGGGAUGAACCGAACGUAAAGUUAAGGUGCCCAAAUGCACGCUCAUAUAGACACCAUAAAAGGUGUUAGUUCAUCUAGACAGCAGGGCGGUGGCCAUGGAAGUCGGAAUCCGCUAAGGAGUGUGUAACAACUCACCUGCCGAAUGAACUAGCCCUGAAAAUGGAUGGCGCUUAAGCGUGCUACCGAUACUUUACCGCCAAAAUUAAAUUGUAAAGAUUUUGGUGAGUAGGCAGGCGUGGAGGUUUUGAGUAGCGAAGCUGUGGGAGUGAUCUCCAGUGGAACAACC
rnacentral:rRNA from 1 species